rnacentral:lncRNA from 1 species
AAUUUCAAAAGAAUUAUAUAAGAAAUAUAAAAAAUUCUUAGAGACCAUUUAAAGAAAUCAUAAAGAAAUAAAAUUGAAAUUAAAAAAAUAUAUACUAAAUUAGAAAUCUUAAUAAAAUAUUAAAAUAAAAACCUUAAUUAAAUCUUAGUCAAAAUCUAGUCAAACCUUGGUUCAAUCCUUAUCAAAUCCUAGUAAAAAUCUAGUAAAACCUUGAUCAAAUCUUUGUCAAACUCUAAUCAAAUCAUAAUCAAAUCCUAAUCAAAUCUUAGUCAAAUCUUAGACAAAUUCUAAAUAAGCCGUGAUCGAACCUUAGACAAAUCCUAAAAAAAUCCUAAUUAAAUCCUAAU